AGUGCAAGCUAGUUACGAUUGUGCUCUGGCUUUAUAUAAAAAAAGAAAAGGCGAAUCUUUUUAAUGUAGCAACAUUUGCGAAGACAACAGCUAUUUCUACUAGGUUUAUUGCAGGGAAACGCUACUCGAAGGUAAAAGUUGAAUCAGCAAUCAUAUUUCUGGGAGAUCACUUGCAAUUGCAACUAUGACAAUUCAUUUAAUACGCACUUCCGCAUAAGCCGCACAAGUUUUGAGCGGCUCUGUAGCUCACUUUUCAAUUUAAACAAAGUUGACACAAAGUGGCGCAAAGCUAUUUCGUUGCAAAAACGUGUGGCUAACGCUUUAUUUACUUUGGGGUCGUCUGCAGAAUAUAGGGUAGUGUCUGAACUUUUUGCAGUAGGAAUAGCGACGGUGUGCUUAAAUGUAUACGAGUUCUGCAAAGAAGUACCACCAACUCCAGAUUUUUUAGCUGACUGUGUUAAUGGUUUUCACCGUUUGGGCUUCCCACAAUGUCUAGGAGAAAUUGAUGAAUGCCACAAUGAAGUCAAGCCGAGUCCAACAGAUGCAACUGAUUACUAUAAUUACAAAGGGUGGUAUUCUAUUGUUCUACUAGCUGUCGUGGAUUACAGAUAUCGUUUUCUAUAUGUAAAUAUUGGUGCCCCUGGUCGAUGCAAUGAUUCCCAGAUAUAUAACGCAUCACUUUUGAAGCAAAUGAUGGACCACAAUGAACUGCUGACGAACAACAAAAUGGAAAUCGGUGGUAUACAAAUGCCAAUAUGUAUAAUAGGAGAUUCUGCGUUUCGAUUUUCCACCUCUCUAAUGAAGCCAUACGCAUUUUCAUUGGCUUUAACCGAAACCCAAAAACUAUUUAACUACAAGCUAUCAAAAUGCCGCAGAGUUGUAGAGAAUGCCUUUGGCCACUUAAAAGCAGAGAAUGUGAUAAUGCCAUGUUCAUUUUCUUCACUUUUUUUCAUAUAUUUGGUUAUCUCCUCGGAUAAUUGGAUCCGAGAUAUUUGGCGAUGGCGAUGGCGAUGACGAUGGUAGUGGUGAUGGUGUUGGCAGUGGUGAUGGUGAUGACAGUUCUAUAGGGGCUAGUGGCGUACC